GGCGGCGGCUGCCUGUGAAAGCGCCGAGCUGCAGCGCGGAGGGGAAGGGGGAAGAUGAAAGAGCAGCAUAAGAAAGAAGUGUUGAGAGCUGCUCUUAACCCUUUUGGAGUCCGAAGUCAAAAGGGGACUAGAGGGCUUGACGCAUCCUUUACAUCCUGCAUUUACUCUGACCACAGUCCCUCCGUGUUCUCACAAGUGAAGCUCAGCCCUGCUUCCCUUCCUGUUGAUUCCCGGUCAGCUACAUGGUAAGUUUUCAUUAUCUCUAGACUUGUUGCCAUAAGGUAAAAUUCUGGCAGGUUCUCUCUAACAUCCAUUAGCACUGGGCAUUGGGGGCAGAGUACUUCAUGCCCAUCAAAGAUUGUUCAGUUGUAUUCUGGGCUGACUGCAAGGGAAGGAAGAGAGUAUUGAAUUAGCAUUGGAGCUGAACUUCAGCAUAGAUUGUUAUAGGAAUAAAAUAUGAAGUAAAAUAUGUGACAGAAUUAAAUCCAUCAGUUCUAAUAAAGGAAA
rnacentral:lncRNA from 1 species